AGGUCAUCAACGGGAGCCAUGCUUUUACUCCUCGGUUUGCUCAGAGCCUGAUGAGGAGAGUCACUAAAAGAGAGACAACCUGCAGGCUUGUGUCCAGAGACUUGUCUUCCACCUACACCUCACCAGAACACAACGUAGAAAGUACUACUACUACUACCACCACCAUCAUUACCACUACUACUACUACCACCAUC